rnacentral:lncRNA from 1 species
AUGAAUAGGACUAUAAAAUUAAUAAAUAGAAAAAAAGAUACAAUUAUAAACAUUUUUUUGGUACCAUUUAAGUUUAUAAUAUUAUUGUUACAUUAUAUUAUAUUAUUUAAAUUAAAAAUAUCAAUUUUUAUUAUAAAAAAAAAAAUUCAAUCUCUCAAUAAUAUACAAAAAAAAGAAUUAAUACGUAAUAAUAAAAAUAGUGUUACAAAUAUUGUUGAUAGGAAGAGUGAAAACAUUAUAUCGAAACAAUCUAGAAUAUCUUUUGUAUGUAUUGAUAAAUCAUUUUAUAAUUUUGAAGAAGUAGUAAAAUAUGCAGUAGGACAAUUUGCUUAUAAUAUAUUACAUUUUACAUCCUACAAAUUAGACAUAACAAAAUAUUAUAUAAAUUCAAAUAUACCUAAAAUUAUUAUUUAUGAUAAUAAUGAUGAAAUAAUUCAUUAUAUGUCUAAUGUUAUUACAGGUGUAUCAAAAGAAAUAUGUAAGUUGUAUAAAGUUGACAAUAGUUACUUUAAUUCGAAUAAGAAAAAAGAAGAAAAUGAUAAAAAUAGUAUAAGUAACAAACAUGUAGAUAAUAUAAUAUACAACGAAGAAAUGGAUGAAAAUUCGAAUGAUUAUUUACCAUUAUUUGUGAAUAGUUCUAACAGUUGUGAUAAUAACCCAUUUGAAAAUGAUUUUUAUAAUACUAAAAUUGGAAAUAAUGAAAAUAAUACAAAAUCAAUAAAAAUGUCAACAUAUAAAACUGAUUUUGUUGAAACAUUAAUUAUUGAUGAAGAGGUAGACAAUUUCUGGGUUGAAAAUAAAUUUAAAAUGAUAGAUUUUCGAUUAUUUUUACAAAGUUGGAAAGUAUUGAAUGAUUAUAUUUUAUAUUUAAAUAAUUCUUCUACAACAAAUAAUUCUUUUAUUUCUAUUGGACUUGAAACAUAUAAAUCUAUUAUGUCUGUUUAUAAAUCCAAAGAAAAUAAAUUAGAAAAAGAAACACACAAUGCUAUUUAUUGUAUAUAUGGUGAUAAUAUAUCUUUAAUUAAUGAUUUUAAAAAAGUAAGUUCGAAUUAUAAUGAUUUUAAUAAUAAAGAAUAUGUACAUAAUGAUAAAAAUUUAAAAAAAAAUAAUAUUUGUGAUAUGUUAAAAGAAAAUGAAGAAUUUAAAAAUGAAAUGGAAAAAUUAAAUAAAAUAUUAAGAGAUUUAUAUAUGUCCAAAAGAAAAGAUAUUGAAAAAGUUCAUUUUACUUAUAAUGGUUUUUUUUUAAAAGGUGAUUAUUUAUAUGAUUAUAUAAAUACUGAAAAUAUAAAUGAUCAUAAACCAGCAUUUAAUAUCGAAAAAAUAGAUAUAAUGAACUUUUUAAAUGAGUUUAGUGAUCCUAUAAAUAAAUUAAUCCAUUUGAUUAAUUAUAAUUUAAAUGCAGGUGGACAAUUAUUUAAAGAAUUAAAUCAAGUUUCAGAACAAGAAAAACCUAAUUUUUUAAAAUCUUUUAUUACAAAAAUGAAAGUAUUUGGUUCUUAUCCAUCUCAAAAUUUUCGUUCUUCAAACAAUACUGAUUUUUUUAAUUCAUUUGAUCAAAUUCCUUUUAUUCUGUCAAAUACUUUUAGUACAAGUGUUGAUAAUGACAAUAUGUCAUAUAAAAAUAAAAUCGAGUUAAGUAUGGGUAGUACAUCUCUGGAAGGUUUUAACAAUAAUUCUGGUUCAAGUAAACAAGUAAAAUUGGCCGAGUUAGCUGAGUUAGUUGAGUUAGUUAAGCUAGUUGAGCUAGUCGAGUCAGCAGAACCGGUUGAACCCACCGAGUCAUCUAAACUUAACGAGUCAUCUAAACUUAACGAGUCAUCUANNNNNNNNNNAACGAGUCAUCUAAACUUAACGAGUCAUCUAAACUUAACGAGUCAUCCAAACCAACAGAGUCAUCCGCACUAA